UGCAGUCGACGGUGAAGGAGAGCUUGCUCUCCGGAUCAGUGGCGAACGGGUGAGUAACACGUGAGCAAUCUGCCCCUGACUCUGGGAUAAGCGUUGGAAACGACGUCUAAUACCGGAUACGAGCUGCGAAGGCAUCUUCAGCAGCUGGAAAGAACUUCGGUCAGGGAUGAGCUCGCGGCCUAUCAGCUAGUUGGUGAGGUAAAGGCUCACCAAGGCGUCGACGGGUAGCCGGCCUGAGAGGGUGACCGGCCACACUGGGACUGAGACACGGUCCAGACUCCUACGGGAGGCAGCAGUGGGGAAUAUUGCACAAUGGGCGCAAGCCUGAUGCAGCAACGCCGCGUGAGGGACGACGGCCUUCGGGUUGUAAACCUCUUUUAGCAGGGAAGAAGCGAAAGUGACGGUACCUGCAGAAAAAGCACCGGCUAACUACGUGCCAGCAGCCGCGGUAAUACGUAGGGUGCAAGCGUUAUCCGGAAUUAUUGGGCGUAAAGAGCUCGUAGGCGGUUUGUCGCGUCUGCUGUGAAAACUGGGGGCUCAACCCCCAGCCUGCAGUGGGUACGGGCAGACUAGAGUGCGGUAGGGGAGAUUGGAAUUCCUGGUGUAGCGGUGGAAUGCGCAGAUAUCAGGAGGAACACCGAUG
rnacentral:rRNA from 1 species